rnacentral:rRNA from 1 species
UACGGGGGGAGCAAGCGUUGUUCGGAUUUACUGGGCGUAAAGGCGCGUAGGCGGUCGUGACAGUCACUUGUGAAAUCUCCGGGCUUAACUCGGAACGGUCAAGUGAUACUGUCGGACUAGAGUACAGAAGGGCGAACUGGGAAUUCUCGGUGUAGCGGUGAAAUGCGUAGAUAUCGAGAGGAACACCUGCGGCGAAGGCGGGUUGCUGGGCGUGAUACUGACGCUGAGGCGACGAAAGCCAGGGAGGCGAACGGGAUUAGACGUACCCUG